UACGAAGGGGGCUAGCGUUGCUCGGAAUUACUGGGCGUAAAGGGCGCGUAGGCGGACAGUUAAGUUGGGGGUGAAAGCCCGGGGCUCAACCUCGGAAUUGCCUUCAAUACUGGCUGUCUUGAGUGUGAGAGAGGUGUGUGGAACUCCGAGUGUAGAGGUGAAAUUCGUAGAUAUUCGGAAGAACACCAGUGGCGAAGGCGACACACUGGCUCACUACUGACGCUGAGGCGCGAAAGCUAGGGGAGCAAACGGG
rnacentral:rRNA from 1 species